UACGUAGGGGGCAAGCGUUGUCCGGAUUUAUUGGGCGUAAAGAGCGUGUAGGCGGUUUGGUAGGUCCGCUGUGAAAACUCGAGGCUCAACCUCGAGACGCCGGUGGAAACCAUCAGACUAGAGUCCGGAAGAGGAGAGUGGAAUUCCUGGUGUAGCGGUGAAAUGCGCAGAUAUCAGGAAGAACACCCGUGGCUAAGGCGGCUCUCUAGUACGGUACUGACGCUGAGACGCGAAAGCGUGGAGAGCGAACAGG
rnacentral:rRNA from 1 species